rnacentral:rRNA from 1 species
GAUGAACGCUGGCGGCGUGCCUAAUACAUGCAAGUCGAGCGAACAGACGAGGAGCUUGCUCCUUUGACGUUAGCGGCGGACGGGUGAGUAACACGUGGGUAACCUACCUAUAAGACUGGGAUAACUUCGGGAAACCGGAGCUAAUACCGGAUAAUAUUUCGAACCGCAUGGUUCGAUAGUGAAAGAUGGCUUUGCUAUCACUUAUAGAUGGACCUGCGCCGUAUUAGCUAGUUGGUAAGGUAAUGGCUUACCAAGGCAACGAUACGUAGCCGACCUGAGAGGGUGAUCGGCCACACUGGAACUGAGACACGGUCCAGACUCCUACGGGAGGCAGCAGUAGGGAAUCUUCCGCAAUGGGCGAAAGCCUGACGGAGCAACGCCGCGUGAGUGAUGAAGGUCUUCGGAUCGUAAAACUCUGUUAUUAGGGAAGAACAAACGUGUAAGUAACUGUGCACGUCUUGACGGUACCUAAUCAGAAAGCCACGGCUAACUACGUGCCAGCAGCCGCGGUAAUACGUAGGUGGCAAGCGUUAUCCGGAAAUAUUGGGCGUAAAGCGCGCGUAGGCGGUUUUUUAGUCUGAUGUGAAAGCCCACGGCUCAAUCGUGGAGGGUCAUUGGAAACUGGAAAACUUGAGUGCAGAAGAGGAAAGUGGAAUUCCAUGUGUAGCGGUGAAAUGCGCAGAGAUAUGGAGGAACACCAGUGGCGAAGGCGACUUUCUGGUCUGUAACUGACGCUGAUGUGCGAAAGCGUGGGGAUCAAACAGGAUUAGAUACCCUGGUAGUCCACGCCGUAAACGAUGAGUGCUAAGUGUUAGGGGGUUUCCGCCCCUUAGUGCUGCAGCUAACGCAUUAAGCACUCCGCCUGGGGAGUACGACCGCAAGGUUGAAACUCAAAGGAAUUGACGGGGAUCCGCACAAGCGGUGGAGCAUGUGGUUUAAUUCGAAGCAACGCGAAGAACCUUACCAAAUCUUGACAUCCUUUGACCCUUCUAGAGAUAGAAGUUUCCCCUUCGGGGGACAAAGUGACAGGUGGUGCAUGGUUGUCGUCAGCUCGUGUCGUGAGGUGUUGGGUUAAGUCCCGCAACGAGCGCAACCCUUAAGCUUAGUUGCCAUCAUUAAGUUGGGCACUCCAAGUUGACUGCCGGUGACAAACCGGAGGAAGGUGGGGAUGACGUCAAAUCAUCAUGCCCCUUAUGAUUUGGGCUACACACGUGCUACAAUGGACAAUACAAAGGGCAGCGAAACCGCGAGGUCAAGCAAAUCCCAUAAAGUUGUUCUCAGUUCGGAUUGUAGUCUGCAACUCGACUACAUGAAGCUGGAAUCGCUAGUAAUCGUAGAUCAGCAUGCUACGGUGAAUACGUUCCCGGGUCU